rnacentral:lncRNA from 1 species
AUUAUUUUAAUAUGGAAAUUCGGCCAAGGGUCUUUUAUUUGGGACUCUUGGACUGAAUAUAAAAAUUUAAACUAAAUAAAAUAAAUAAAUAAAAAUAAAACUUUACAACUUGGGCCACUUUGACAAUUUGGCCUGAUUUUCAACUAAGUAUGGGUGGAUUUCUUGAUUGGGCUUGGAAUCUUCUUAUUGGGCAUUGCCCUCAAGAAUUUGGGCUUUUGUGACUCGUAUCAUUCCCCCCUUCCUCAAAAAGAUUCGUCCUCGAAUCUGAAAAAUCAAAUGAACUCGACUUUCCUCUAUCGAACGGGAGUAAUGGCAAUUGAGUCCACUGAAAAGAAUAGCCAUGAAAUAGUAAAUAGCAACACAAACAAGCUUGUAGUCCAAUUAUAAGCAUAAUAGAACAGGUAUAACGCAUGUGAAUGGACAGAUUCAGAUUACAAUGCAAACAAUCUAAUUUACUCACCACUGCCUCGUC